rnacentral:lncRNA from 1 species
AAAAAACACACCAAUUAAGAAAAUGAAUUGAUUACAUUGAAGUCAUGUUAAAAAAGUACAACUUUUCAAUUUUGCCCUUGUCAUGUUUUAGUAAUAAUUAAUGAAAGUGACUCUUGAACUCAUGGAGAUGGGGUAAAAUUGGAAUAGUAGCAUUUAUUAGGUUGCUUUUACUAUACUUUUUCUUACAUUUGAGACCACAAUUUUUUUUGUUUUUUUCCCUACAUUUGAGACGGGAGGGAGUA